GAGUUUGAUCCUGGCUCAGGAUGAACGCUAGCGACAGGCCUAACACAUGCAAGUCGAGGGGCAUCGGGGAGCGAAGCUUGCUUUGCUCCGCCGGCGACCGGCGCACGGGUGAGUAACGCGUAUGCAACCUGCCCGUUUCAGCGGGAUAACCCGGAGAAAUCCGGCCUAAUACCGCAUGUGGCCGAGGGAAGGCAUCUUCUUUCGGCCAAAGGAGGCGACUCCGGAGACGGAUGGGCAUGCGUGACAUUAGCUUGUUGGCGGGGUAACGGCCCACCAAGGCGACGAUGUCUAGGGGUUCUGAGAGGAAGGUCCCCCACACUGGUACUGAGACACGGACCAGACUCCUACGGGAGGCAGCAGUGAGGAAUAUUGGUCAAUGGGCGAGAGCCUGAACCAGCCAAGUCGCGUGAAGGAUGACGGCCCUACGGGUUGUAAACUUCUUUUGUCAGGGAGCAAUUGGGUCCACGCGUGGGCUUAGCGAGAGUACCUGAAGAAAAAGCAUCGGCUAACUCCGUGCCAGCAGCCGCGGUAAUACGGAGGAUGCGAGCGUUAUCCGGAUUUAUUGGGUUUAAAGGGUGCGUAGGCGGAAUAUCAAGUCAGCGGUAAAAAUUCGGG
rnacentral:rRNA from 1 species